rnacentral:misc_RNA from 1 species
AAGACACCCUUGUCCUUUUAUCUUUUCUCCUUUUUCUUUUUAAUCCUCGUGAUCACCCAAUUCUUUAACUUCCUAAGGUUAGUGAAGAACUUUGCAAUGCUUCUUAAGCAGUUGCAAGCACCCUCUGGCUUCCUGAGUUCAGAGAAAACUCUCACCAAGCUUCCUAAGUUAUUGCGAGAUUUGUCAACUUCCUAAUGUUGGUGAAAACCCUUGUGGAGCUUCCUAAGAUUCCCCAAGCAUUCCCUAACUUCCAAAGGUCAUUUAAAGAACCUUGUAGAGCUUCCUAAUAAGGUUCUGCAGGAUUCAUCUGCUUCCCCCCAAGGUUGGUGGAAGCGCUUUUAAGGCUUCCUAAGGUAUUGCAAAUCUGCUUUCUCUCCUAGCUACCCCAAGCUGAAGGUGCAGCUUCCUCCAUCUUGAGACCGAUUUUGCUAUAAAUGGUCAAUAUGAACCAAGGGGGCAUUUACUCCAUAGAACUCAUCACUGGCAUACCCCCAAAACACAUACAUCACUCUAUCAAGUGCCAGACUCAAAGUAUAGGCAUCAACACAAUCAUGACUCGGUUUGUAGGCAGUAAACUAAAUUUCCCUAAUUAAGACAAUAAUGGGUUAAAGUUUCUAGCAGCUG